GUGGCCUGGUUACCCAGGAAAUGGAGUGUUUCUUAGUUAUCUCAUUCAGAUUUCACACGUGGUUGGGUUUGCCAUAGUUGGCGAAUAACAAGGUGUCUGGGUUUGCAGUUAGUGGAAUCGCCAAAUACAAGAAUGAACUGUGUGCAAAUCUAAUGUGCUAUCCGGAUAUUAUUGGCUUUGUGUCGGUCAGUGACAUAUUAAGAGACCUCACUGGGAUUUGCCCAGAUUUAUUUUGCGUCCAAUAAUUUAAAUACAUGCACUGGGGCCUGUCCCACGUUUCUUAGGGGAGCAGUCUGUCCUUGGUAUAAGCUGAG